GAGGCAUGGGCGGGGGGAGAAGGAGGGACAGGGCAGUCUUGUGUGUCUGGUGUGUGUGCCUGUGGCCUCUGUCUCAGAAACGGCAGCGAACAGGUCCGGAUUGAAACCUAAGCUGCGUAUUCCCCUGGAAGGACGCGAGCCACGGUCGCGCCUGGGACCAGGCAGCCUGGCCUAUCAGGCACCCAGCCAGACGUGCCCCAGCAGGGAGAAUAUUCCAGACUUUUUUAGAAGGCUGCCUGAGGGGAUCUGGAUGCUUUACGGGUAUUUCCCUGUGCCCCCCCCCCCCUUCCUACACCCACUGUAUUAACUGCAUUAAAACAUUCUCAACCAAAACAAAACAAAAACCUCUCAGUUUGUAAACCAUGUUUCUCAGUUAACUGGCUAGGUAGAGAAAGGGGCACAUUAACUUUCCCUUUUAGGGGAAGCAAAGAAGGAGAGGAGGAAGGGUCAAAAGAAGCUGGAGGAGGGAGGAGAGAGAAGGAGGAAGCAGUAAGGCAGGAAGACUGGCAAUAAUAAGUCCAUUUCGCCCAUGUAGAGCACUUCACGGUUAGGACUUAUUAUAGUGGAUUUUGUAUCCAUUAACUCAUAACUACCCUUUGAUAAUUAUGCCCGUUUUAAGGACUGGGAGGCCGAGGUCCAGAGCAGCGAAGUAACUGUGCCCAUGUUCCGGCAGUCAGUCGCUGGUGGAGCCGGGAUGGAGCCAGGGUCUCCUGCCUCUUAUCCGCUCCUGUGAGGCCCUGAGUCAUAG
rnacentral:lncRNA from 1 species